UACAGAGGGGGCAAGCGUUGUUCGGAAUUACUGGGCGUAAAGCGCGUGUAGGCGGCUCUUCAAGUCAGGCGUGAAAGCCCCGGGCUCAACUCGGGAGCUGCGCUUGAUACUGUCGAGCUAGAGUGUGGAAGGGGCGAUUGGAAUUCCGUGUGUAGCGGUGAAAUGCGUAGAUAUACGGAGGAACACCAGAGGCGAAGGCGGAUCGCUGGGCCAACACUGACGCUGAGACGCGAAAGCUAGGGUAGCAAACGGG
rnacentral:rRNA from 1 species